rnacentral:rRNA from 1 species
GACGAACGCUGGCGGCGUGCUUAACACAUGCAAGUCGAACGGAAAGGCCCUGCUUUUGUGGGGUGCUCGAGUGGCGAACGGGUGAGUAACACGUGAGUAACCUGCCCUUGACUUUGGGAUAACUUCAGGAAACUGGGGCUAAUACCGGAUAGGAGCUCCUGCUGCAUGGUGGGGGUUGGAAAGUUUCGGCGGUUGGGGAUGGACUCGCGGCUUAUCAGCUUGUUGGUGGGGUAGUGGCUUUCCAAGGCUUUGACGGGUAGCCGGCCUGAGAGGGUGACCAGCCACAUUGGGACUGAGAUACGGCCCAGACUCCUACGGGAGGCAGCAGUGGGGAAUACUGCACAAUGGGCGGAAGCCUGAUGCAGCAACGCCGCGUGCGGGAUGAAGGCCUUCGUGUUGUAAACCGCUUUGGCCUGUGACGAAGCGUGAGAGACGGUAAUGGGUAAAGAAGCACCGGCUAACUACGUG